AACGAACGCUGGCGGCAGGCUUAACACAUGCAAGUCGAGCGCCCCGCAAGGGGAGCGGCAGACGGGUGAGUAACGCGUGGGAAUCUACCGUGCCCUACGGAAUAGCUCCGGGAAACUGGAAUUAAUACCGUAUACGCCCUACGGGGGAAAGAUUUAUCGGGGUAUGAUGAGCCCGCGUUGGAUUAGCUAGUUGGUGGGGUAAAGGCCUACCAAGGCGACGAUCCAUAGCUGGUCUGAGAAGAUGAUCAGCCACAUUGGGACUGAGACACGGCCCAAACUCCUACGGGAGGCGGCAGUGGGGAAUAUUGGGCAAUGGGCGCAAGCCUGAUCCAGCCAUGCCGCGUGAGUGAUGAAGGUCUUAGGAUUGUAAAGCUCUUUCACCGGUGAAGAUAAUGACGGUAACCGGAGAAGAAGCCCCGGCUAACUUCGUGCCAGCCGCCGCAGUAA
rnacentral:rRNA from 1 species